GCUUUUUAUAUCUUUCUCCUUAUGUUCAGGCAAUAGGAUGCCAGGAUGGAACAAUUUCCUUUUAUCAGCUGAUUUUCAGUACAGUCCACGGACUCUAUAAAGAUCGUUAUGCUUACAGGGACAGCAUGACUGAUGUUAUUGUCCAGCACCUAAUUACUGAGCAAAAAGUUAGAAUAAAAUGCAGAGAACUUGUAAAGAAAAUUGCAAUCUACAAAAAUAGAUUAGCAAUCCAGCUUCCAGAAAAAAUCCUGAUUUAUGAAUUAUAUUCAGAUGAUUCCUCAGACAUGCAUUACCGUGUGAAGGAAAAGAUAGCAAAGAAAUUUGAAUGCAAUUUAUUAGUUGUAUGUUCAGAUCACAUUAUCUUAUGCCAGG